UACUUUUUCGGGCAUUUUCGUG
rnacentral:siRNA from 1 species